UAAGCCUGUGAAGGUGGCCUGUGAGGGUUGCUGGAGGUAUCAGAAGUGCGAAUGCUGACAUAAGUAACGAUAAAGCGGGUGAAAAGCCCGCUCGCCGGAAGACCAAGGGUUCCUGUCCAACGUUAAUCGGGGCAGGGUGAGUCGACCCCUAAGGCGAGGCCGAAAGGCGUAGUCGAUGGGAAACGGGUUAAUAUUCCCGUACUUGGUGUUACUGCGAAGGGGGGACGGAGAAGGCUAUGUUGGCCGGGCGACGGUUGUCCCGGUUUAAGCGUGUAGGUGUGUGUUCCAGGUAAAUCC
rnacentral:rRNA from 1 species